rnacentral:rRNA from 1 species
CGCUGAACUUAAGCAUAUCAAUAAGCCCGG